rnacentral:rRNA from 1 species
UACAGAGGUCUCAAGCGUUGUUCGGAUUCAUUGGGCGUAAAGGGCGCGUAGGCGGCGGGGCAAGUCGGGUGUGAAAUCUCAGGGCUCAACCCUGAAACUGCACUCGAUACUGCUCUGCUUGAGGACUGGAGAGGAGACUGGAAUUCACGGUGUAGCAGUGAAAUGCGUAGAUAUCGUGAGGAAGACCAGUGGCGAAGGCGGGUCUCUGGACAGUCCCUGACGCUGAGGGCGCGAAGGCCAGGGGAGCAAACGGG